GGUUAAGUUAGAAAGGGCGCACGGUGGAUGCCUUGACACUAGGAGUCGAUGAAGGACGGGACUAACGCCGAUAUGCUUCGGGGAGCUGUAAGUAAGCUUUGAUCCGAAGAUUUCCGAAUGGGGAAACCCACCAUACGUAAUGGUAUGGUAUCCUUAUCUGAAUACAUAGGGUAAGGAAGACAGACCCAGGGAACUGAAACAUCUAAGUACCUGGAGGAAGAGAAAGCAAAUGCGAUUUCCUGAGUAGCGGCGAGCGAAACGGAACAUAGCCCAAACCAAGAGGCUUGCCUCUUGGGGUUGUAGGACAUUCUAUACGGAGUUACAAAGGAACGAGGUAGACGAAGCGACCUGGAAAGGUCCGUCGUAGAGGGUAACAACCCCGUAGUCGAAACUUCGUUCUCUCUUGAAUGUAUCCUGAGUACGGCGGAACACGUGAAAUUCCGUCGGAAUCUGGGAGGACCAUCUCCCAAGGCUAAAUACUCCCUAGUGAUCGAUAGUGAACCAGUACCGUGAGGGAAAGGUGAAAAGCACCCCGGAAGGGGAGUGAAAGAGAUCCUGAAACCGUGUGCCUACAAAUAGUCAGAGCCCGUUAACGGGUGAUGGCGUGCCUUUUGUAGAAUGAACCGGCGAGUUACGAUCCCGUGCGAGGUUAAGCUGAAGAGGCGGAGCCGCAGCGAAAGCGAGUCUGAAUAGGGCGUUUAGUACGUGGUCGUAGACCCGAAACCAGGUGAUCUACCCAUGUCCAGGGUGAAGUUCAGGUAACACUGAAUGGAGGCCCGAACCCACGCACGUUGAAAAGUGCGGGGAUGAGGUGUGGGUAGCGGAGAAAUUCCAAUCGAACCUGGAGAUAGCUGGUUCUCCCCGAAAUAGCUUUAGGGCUAGCCUUAAGUGUAAGAGUCUUGGAGGUAGAGCACUGAUUGGACUAGGGGUCCUCAUCGGAUUACCGAAUUCAGUCAAACUCCGAAUGCCAAUGACUUAUCCUUAGGAGUCAGACUGCGAGUGAUAAGAUCCGUAGUCAAAAGGGAAACAGCCCAGACCGCCAGCUAAGGUCCCAAAGUGUGUAUUAAGUGGAAAAGGAUGUGGAGUUGCUUAGACAACUAGGAUGUUGGCUUAGAAGCAGCCACCAUUUAAAGAGUGCGUAAUAGCUCACUAGUCGAGUGACUCUGCGCCGAAAAUGUACCGGGGCUAAAUACACCACCGAAGCUGCGGAUUGAUACCAAUGGUAUCAGUGGUAGGGGAGCGUUCUAAGGACAGUGAAGUCAGACCGGAAGGACUGGUGGAGUGCUUAGAAGUGAGAAUGCCGGUAUGAGUAGCGAAAGACGGGUGAGAAUCCCGUCCACCGAAUGCCUAAGGUUUCCUGAGGAAGGCUCGUCCGCUCAGGGUUAGUCAGGACCUAAGCCGAGGCCGACAGGCGUAGGCGAUGGACAACAGGUUGAUAUUCCUGUACCACCUCUUUAUCGUUUGAGCAAUGGAGGGACGCAGAAGGAUAGAAGAAGCGUGCGAUUGGUUGUGCACGUCCAAGCAGUUAGGCUGAUAAGUAGGCAAAUCCGCUUAUCGUGAAGGCUGAGCUGUGAUGGGGAAGCUCCUUAUGGAGCGAAGUCUUUGAUUCCCCGCUGCCAAGAAAAGCUUCUAGCGAGAUAAAAGGUGCCUGUACCGCAAACCGACACAGGUAGGCGAGGAGAGAAUCCUAAGGUGUGCGAGAGAACUCUGGUUAAGGAACUCGGCAAAAUGACCCCGUAACUUCGGGAGAAGGGGUGCUUUCUUAACGGAAAGCCGCAGUGAAUAGGCCCAAGCGACUGUUUAGCAAAAACACAGCUCUCUGCGAAGCCGUAAGGCGAAGUAUAGGGGGUGACACCUGCCCGGUGCUGGAAGGUUAAGGAGAGGGGUUAGCGUAAGCGAAGCUCUGAACUGAAGCCCCAGUAAACGGCGGCCGUAACUAUAACGGUCCUAAGGUAGCGAAAUUCCUUGUCGGGUAAGUUCCGACCCGCACGAAAGGUGUAACGAUUUGGGCACUGUCUCAACCAGAGACUCGGUGAAAUUAUAGUACCUGUGAAGAUGCAGGUUACCCGCGACAGGACGGAAAGACCCCGUGGAGCUUUACUGUAGCCUGAUAUUGAAUUUUGGUACAGUUUGUACAGGAUAGGCGGGAGCCUUUGAAACCGGAGCGCUAGCUUCGGUGGAGGCGCUGGUGGGAUACCGCCCUGACUGUAUUGAAAUUCUAACCUACGGGUCUUAUCGACCCGGGAGACAGUGUCAGGUGGGCAGUUUGACUGGGGCGGUCGCCUCCUAAAGUGUAACGGAGGCGCCCAAAGGUUCCCUCAGAAUGGUUGGAAAUCAUUCGUAGAGUGCAAAGGCAUAAGGGAGCUUGACUGCGAGACCUACAAGUCGAGCAGGGACGAAAGUCGGGCUUAGUGAUCCGGUGGUUCCGCAUGGAAGGGCCAUCGCUCAACGGAUAAAAGCUACCCCGGGGAUAACAGGCUUAUCUCCCCCAAGAGUCCACAUCGACGGGGAGGUUUGGCACCUCGAUGUCGGCUCAUCGCAUCCUGGGGCUGUAGUCGGUCCCAAGGGUUGGGCUGUUCGCCCAUUAAAGCGGUACGCGAGCUGGGUUCAGAACGUCGUGAGACAGUUCGGUCCCUAUCCGUCGUGGGCGUAGGAAAUUUGAGAGGAGCUGUCCUUAGUACGAGAGGACCGGGAUGGACGCACCGCUGGUGUACCAGUUGUUCUGCCAAGGGCAUAGCUGGGUAGCUAUGUGCGGAAGGGAUAAGUGCUGAAAGCAUCUAAGCAUGAAGCCCCCCUCAAGAUGAGAUUUCCCAUAGCGUAAGCUAGUAAGGUCCCUGAAAGAUGAUCAGGUUGAUAGGUUCGAGGUGGAAGCAUGGUGACAUGUGGAGCUGACGAAUACUAAUAGAUCGAGGACUUAACCAU
rnacentral:rRNA from 1 species